UUGCUCCCCGGGUGACGAGCGGCGGACGGGUGAGUAAUGUCUGGGAAACUGCCUGAUGGAGGGGGAUAACUACUGGAAACGGUAGCUAAUACCGCAUAACGUCGCAAGACCAAAGAGGGGGACCUUCGGGCCUCUUGCCAUCAGAUGUGCCCAGAUGGGAUUAGCUAGUAGGUGGGGUAAUGGCUCACCUAGGCGACGAUCCCUAGCUGGUCUGAGAGGAUGACCAGCCACACUGGAACUGAGACACGGUCCAGACUCCUACGGGAGGCAGCAGUGGGGAAUAUUGCACAAUGGGCGCAAGCCUGAUGCAGCCAUGCCGCGUGUGUGAAGAAGGCCUUCGGGUUGUAAAGCACUUUCAGCGAGGAGGAAGGUGGUGAGCUUAAUACGCUCAUCAAUUGACGUUACUCGCAGAAGAAGCACCGGCUAACUCCGUGCCAGCAGCCGCGGUAAUACGGAGGGUGCAAGCGUUAAUCGGAAUUACUGGGCGUAAAGCGCACGCAGGCGGUUUGUUAAGUCAGAUGUGAAAUCCCCGGGCUCAACCUGGGAACUGCAUUUGAAACUGGCAAGCUAGAGUCUCGUAGAGGGGGGUAGAAUUCCAGG
rnacentral:rRNA from 1 species